UACGUAGGGGGCAAGCGUUGUCCGGAAUUAUUGGGCGUAAAGCGCGCGCAGGCGGCCGCUUAAGUCUGGUGUAUAAACCAAGGGCCCAACCUUUGGUGGCAUUGGAAACUGGGCGGCUGGAGUGUAGGAGAGGAAAGUGGAAUUCCACGUGUAGCGGUGAAAUGCGUAGAGAUGUGGAGGAACACCAGUGGCGAAGGCGGCUUUCUGGCCUAUAACUGACGCUGAGGCGCGAAAGCGUGGGGAGCAAACAGG
rnacentral:rRNA from 1 species